rnacentral:rRNA from 1 species
AUGCCGCCGGCGGCGGCGCUGAUGAGCGACCUCGUAGAGGAUCUGUUCCUCCGCCUUUCGCCGGAGCUCGUCGAGGAGGUGUUUUUCCGCCUCCCGCCGGACGAGCCCGCCUGUCUCGUCCGUGCCUCCGCCGUCUGCAAGCCCUGGCGCCGCAUCCUCGCCGAUUCGGGCUUUCGCCGCCGCUACCGCAAGUUCCACGGAACGCCUCCCGUCCUGGGGCUCUUCCAACGGGGCGACUGGCUCUUCCAAAAGGGAUCCCGCUUCGUUCCCACCUCCGCCCUCUUCCCUGCCCAGCCUGACCAUCCCGAUUGCUUUGCCAUGGACUGCCGCGCCCUCUUCGCCCGCAUCUGGGACACCUCCGUCCUCAUGGUCUUGGACCCUGUGACGGGCCACCAGCGCCUCGUGACCUCCCCCUAUACUCACCCGGUCAGCUUCAGUGCGGCGCCGGUCAGCUUCAGUGCGGCGGUGUUCUGCGCCGGCGCCGCACAAGGCUGCGACCACCAUGGUUGCCAAGCAGGGCACUUCCGUCUGGCCGUCGUGACCACCAAUGAUGUCCAAGAGGUCACAUCGGGCUGGCUCUACUCGUCGGAGACUCGCGUGUGGAGCCAGCUCACCUCUCUUCAUCACCCCAAUGUCAGAUUUACCAAUUCAGCUGCGCCUAGCGUCCUUGUGGGUGAUGCACUCUACUUCAACUUGGGCGGCAUCAUCGAGUGCCAACUUGGUACAGUCUGCUUGUCAAUGUUGGAGAAGCCAAUCGAUGGCAAUGGGACUCUCAUGGCGACGCAAGACGGUCUGCUGGGAUUCGCUGCCGUGGUGGAUGCCGCAAAUCUAACCCUUUGGUCGAGGGAGGCCGGACCCAAGGGAGCCAUGGGAUGGGCAAAACUCAGGAUAAUUGAUCUUGAGGCGCUGCUCCCUGUUGGUGCCAUGUCCCUAACAUUGGAAUUCAGGAGGCGGGUACAUGCAUUGGUGACCAGUGGCAUCGCGGAGGGCACCCAAAUCAUUUUUGUGAUAACUCGUGAUGGUUCUUAUAUGGUUGAUCUCGAGUCAGGUCGAGUCAGGCCCGUGUCUUGUCUUUGCAGAAAAAUCUUUCCCUACAUGAGCUUCUACAUCCCAGCAAUGGAAGCAGCUUGUGCUGGCCAGGAGCAGUGA